UACGGAGGGUGCGAGCGUUAAUCGGAAUUACUGGGCGUAAAGGGUGCGUAGGUGGUUUGUUAAGUUAUCUGUAAAAUCCCUGGGCUCAACCUGGGCAUGCCAGAUAAAACUGAUGGACUCGAGUACGGGAGAGGGUAGUGGAAUUUCCGGUGUAGCGGUGAAAUGCGUAGAGAUCGGAAGGAACACCAGUGGCGAAGGCGGCUCUCUGGUCCAUGUCUGACGCUGAGGUACGAAAGCUAGGGGAGCAAACGGG
rnacentral:rRNA from 1 species